UNGGACCUGAGAACUUAACCUUGUUAUGGG
rnacentral:piRNA from 1 species